rnacentral:lncRNA from 1 species
AACCUGACAAGAUAUUUUCCAAAAUGGUAACAAUUUUCCUCAGCUCAGUGCCCCAAAAUUAUCCCAUUUUCUUCCGUGCUUUCAAAGCCAUAAUUCCAAGGACCAUCCCCCACUCUAUGAGUUGGAUCCACUGCCUACCUUUAAGCGUCAAUUAUAUCAAGAAAACGUAUACAUUCGGCAUCAUAGCCUGGGUCAAUGGACUCCCAAGUGGAUACCACUUAGAGCAGACAACAUCAAUUCGAAACUAUCGGAUCCAGCUGCCUGAAACUUGAUGCUUCAUCCCUGUACCUUUUGGGUCAAAGUCAAGCAAAAACUGUCUCUGGUUGCUCACAUUUUCAAUGCUUGCCUUAAAUUUUCUAGCAGUGGGAAUUGGGACUAGACCAUAACAUCCACUACUGACAUAGCCUGAUAGCCGACAGUUGUUCCCUGCAAAAAUCAUUUUAAGGAUAUUUGCUUCAUGUCUCAGCAAUCAAACCGGCCAAGGCCCAAAUGAGGGUUAUGACAGAAACAAAAAUGAAGGGGCAAACUCAACUCAUCGACACUUCUUCUAUCCCCAUGUUUACGUCAUCAUGAUCUCAUUGGUUGGCUCACCGUGGCAUUUUUCAGUUCACUUCUCGGAAAAGGAAUAAGAAAAAGACAAAAGGAAAGUCUUGCAAUAGCAAACAGACAGUUCAUGGCUUCAUGGGGUCCCAUGUGGAGGAAAGCGCUGCCUAAUCGCAAGACCAUUGAACACCAUAUAUGGCAAUUACAUUCUUUUUUUUCUUUGAUGGUCAUGACAUGGUUAUUACUUAAUCAAUAC